rnacentral:rRNA from 1 species
AGAUAAUAGAUACCCUGGUAGUCCACGCCGUAAACUAUGGAUGCUAGCUGUUAUCGGUAUCGACCCCGGUAGUAGCGAAAGCUAACGCGUUAAGCAUCCCGCCUGUGGAGUACGAGCGCAAGCUUAAAACAUAAAGGAAUUGACGGGGACCCGCACAAGCGGUGGAGCGUGUUGUUUAAUUCGACGGUAAACGAAGAACCUUACCCAGGCUUGACAUCCUGCUAAGUUUUGCGAAAGCAAAAUGUGCCUUCGGGCCGCAGUGACAGGUGAUGCAUGGCCGUCGUCAGCUCGUGUCGUGAGAUGUUUGGUUAAGUCCAUCAACGAGCGCAACCCUUAUAGUCAGUUGAAUUUCUCUGGCUAGACUGCCCCGGUAACGGGGAGGAAGGAGGGACGAUGUCAGGUCAUUA